GAAGCACUGACAGAAGUAUAUAUCAUGUCUUGAAACAGUGACAGAAGUAUAUAUUAUGUCUUGAAGCACUGACACAAGUAUAUAGUACGUCUUGAAACAGUAACAGAAGAUUAUAGUAUGUCUUGGAGCAGUGACAGAAGUAUAUAGUAUGUCUUGAAGCACUGACAGAGGUAUAUAGUAUGUCUUGAAGCCCCAAGAGAAGCAUGUUGUAUGACUACAAUCAUAAACUUAAUUCUGUUUAGAUACAGGGUUAUAGAC